ensembl:lncRNA
UUUAAAGGACCCAUCGUAUGCCCAUUUUACCACAAGUUGAUAUGGUUCCUUGGGGUCUUAAUGAAAUGUCUGUAACAUAUUUUGGUCAAAAUACCACAGGGAUCAUUAUUAAUGGCAUCCUUUUUACCCUGCCAAACACAGCCAUUCUGUCAGCGAGCUGUUUUGAGCUCUUAUGCUAAUGAGCCAGCUAACCCCUCCCCCCGCCCUCCUCCCCCCUCCUCUACGGUUUUGGGCUAAUCAUUCUAACCUUUUAGUUUUUAGCUACUCAUUCUUACCAAGUUUAGUUUUGUAAAAUAUGGCGACUGGAUACGAGAUUGUUCAGACCCUGAACAAGAAGAGGCUCCCAAAACAGUUUGAGAAUUUAGGGUACAACAGGACGUUUCUGAAUGGCGUAAUUGUGCCAAGUGUGAGCAAAUGCCUACAGAGCCUGAGAAUGGAUGCUGCAGGGAGAUGCCACAGACGUUACAGGUAUUUGGUGUACAGAAGCUUUGUUAGCAGGUCUUGGGGCUUUCUGGGACGGAGAAUCUGGGUGGUCCUGCUCUUCUGCUCCAGAUGGUGCUUUGGAGGAUCUGUCUGACAGGCCACAUGAUGUAGCCUAGGACACUGUUC